rnacentral:rRNA from 1 species
AUCUAUGGCCAUGCCACCCUGAAAACGACCAAUCCCGUCUGACCUCGGAAGCUAAGCAGUGUCGGGCCUGGUUAGUACUUGGAUGGGAGACCACCUAGGAAGACCGGAUGCCGAAGGCG